CAUAAGUAAAACAAUGAAUUAAGUUCCAUGAAUAAAAGAGGUUGGACAAAAGAGGUUGUCUGGGGUGCUUCAUGGUGAGUUCCUGCACUGAGGAGAGAGGUGAACUCAAUGUUGAGAACAGUUUCAUCCUCAGUGUUUAAGUCCCUAAAAAGACUGAGGGACCUUAAAUAUCGAUCCUGGGCAUAAUGCGUUCCAGCAACAAUGCUUUCGGGAAGAUUCAUGAUUCGGUUUUUCAAGAAUUCAUCAGAAGCAUUCAAAGAAACAACAUAGUCUACAAGUUUAUUACAGAUGAUGCUGUGUGUUUUGAAGAAUCCAGAGUUAACUAGAACCACACAUGAUACUCUACAAAGCAUGUUUUACAAACCAUGCUGGCUAGAUUCAAAUAUAAUUAACCAACCAUUAUAUUUAGUGCAGUAAGUGGAUUAGCCAAACUCUUUGUGAUUUAUUUACCAUUAGAUGUAUAAUCCACCUUUUUAUUUAUGUGAAUAUCAAGAUAUUUACUGCAGUUAAAUUGUUAACUUAUUAAUUACUUGUAUUUUUGUAAAUUACUGUUGUAUUUACUGUAAAUGCAAAUCAUGCACACAUUUUAAUAAUUUCAGUAACAAGUGAUUCUGCCACAAUGUUGCAACAUAAAAACCC